GCAAAAUGGGGAGAAUAAGGGCUGAACCGCUAAAGCACUGUAAAAAAAUUGGGUGCUGCUAUUUUUGCACCCGACAUGACGCUCAUGAAGUGGUGAUGAAUUUCUUAUUUUAAAAAAUAAAGGAAGAAGACUAGGGUUAGAAUGGUCAAUUUAUAAACAUUAACAAACUCCUUGUGUCUUGGUAGAAUUCAUGUCGAGUUUGAAAACAA
rnacentral:misc_RNA from 1 species